CCACCCCACUCUGUGGAAAAAUUGUCUUCCACAAAACUGGUCCCUGGUGCCAAAAAGAUUGGAGACAACUGCUCUAUGUUACACCAACAUUAACUGAUACUAACAGAAAUCUUAUUUACCACAGUAAACACAUGAAGUUAUUUUAUAUACAUUUUCACAGAGCAAGUUCAUUUUGGUAAUACCCAAAUCCAUAUAGCAUACUAUGUUUCUUCUAUGAUUAUCAUCAUGGACUCUCAAAAUUGGAAAAUGAGUCCAUCUGGUCCAAUUUUACGUUAUAUAUUAGCAGAGCCUUGCUAUGCCCAAGGCUCUGCUAAUAGAUACCUCUGUUGAAAACUAUUAAUCCACAGACCAGCAGUAGCAGCAGCAGCAGCACCAGGGAACUCAGGCAAAGGCAAAUUAAAUUCAGAGGACCCACUUCACACACGUUGAAUUGGAAUUUUGGGGAGUUGGAACUAACAAUCUGAUUUAACAAGGACUUUGGGGGAUUCUUGUCAUACUAAAGUUUGAGAACCAUUGAUCUAUAAACUCCUCAUUUAUGAUCACUAGUUUCUGCUUAAAUACUUCCUUAAUUAGGAAAUCUACUACUUUAUAAGGCAGACCAUUGCAUUUUAGAACAUCACUUCUUGUUGGAAAAUCUCUUCUUAUUUAGAUCCAAGCCUACCUUCCUGGAGCCUCUAUGUACUACUUGUUUUGCUCAACAAGAACACAAACAGUGUUGACUCCAUCUUCUAUAUGAUGGUGAGUUGUGGUCAAACACAGCUAUCCUGCUCCUCUUCCUCCCUCCAUGAGUGUCCUCCUCCCCCAGUGAAUGUCCUUCUUGGGAUAGAUAACUUUAGUGGCUUUUAAACGUUCACCAAGCUGCAUUUAUCUCUUUAAUAUUCUUAUUGUUCUCCUUUAAUGAUGUUCCAUUUUGUCACCAUUCCUUCGAAGUGAAACACUUCAAAGAGCACAAUAAAAAAAUAAAGAAAUAAAAAUUUUUAAAAUAAAUUUAAAAUGAGAACAGAAGAUAAUCCUUUAAGUGUGGUCUGACAACAGAAGGUAAAACAAAUAGAUACCUCUGUUAAAAAGUAAAUGCUAUUAUUGGUUUGGGAUUGGACAUUCUGAUUAUAAUAGGCUUUUUCCUUUAUAAAACUGAAAUAUCUACAGAAGUCAGGUUUUCUUCUAAAAGGAGUUAUUUAUUUGGGUUAGUGACUUAUUGUUUGACAUUUUCAAGAUAAUUUUACAUUCGUUUUACUUAACCACAAACCAUUAUAAAGGAGAGGCAUUUCCUUCGCUUUGCAUAAAUUAUCCCUCCACCAUUAGGAUUCCCCAAGAUAGGAAAGUUACAUACCUGGGAAAAACCGUGGUGGUAAAUGAGGGUCAGUCUGAUGACCACGGCAGCCCAUGACUGUGCCAAAGACAGAUGACCUUUGCUUCCCCUCAGCCUCACCGCAAUGUUUCAUUGGCCAGUGCAGGAGAAACCAGGAUGCUUCCUCAUACUGCACAUCUUUAUCUGAGAACCAAAGGACAAAUAUGGGUGUCACAUGCCAGCUCCUUCUACCUCCUUCUGAAACCAGAGGACUGGACUGGGACCAACAGAGAUCAUGCUGUUUAGUCCACAGAUUUCAGGAAAAGUGAAUUCUGAAGAAUCAUUUUUUUUUUAGAUCUUCCUAUGUGUAAAAUUCUUGCACAAUUUUCACGAAAAUUGUCAACUUUAAAUGAGAUUGUAAAUCUCACCAAAGAUUUUUACACAUAGGAAGAUCUAAAAAAAAAUGAUUAUUAUUUUUUUCCUUUAUAGCUGAUGCUUGACUUUUUUUUCCCUUGGUAAUAUAGCUUAUGAAGCAGAUAUAUAUGCCAAUAUACCUUUGAUUUUAAGUCUUUUAAAUAGAAGACCGUAUGGAUAAAUUGACACAUGAGAGACAGAUAGAUGUAUGGACACAUACAUGUUCACAGUUGUUGUUUUAGAGAUUAUGCCACAGAGUCAUCAAAUGCUGUCUAACACUAAAUUAGAUUUUCCUGUGAGUUGGUAAGCAACCUGUUGUGGGAAGUAAUCAAGCAGGGACUAGAUAUCCAUCUAUCAGAAAAAAUGAAUUGCUAGAGAGAGAUGGCAUAGCCUUUCCAAAGUUAAGUUUCCAUGAGUGUAGAGAAAUGAGGAUAAUGGCUGUUAAUGGUUAGUGUUUACCUUAGGAAAGCCAUCAAUCUAACUAUUCUAUCUGCACUAACUCAUUUAAUAUAGAAAGAGAUGCUUCCGAAAAGGGAAUUUUAACAAUAGUCUGACUUUCUGCAAAGAAAAUGCCAAGUGACAAAGUUAUAUCGUUGAUAUACGCACAUAUUCACAAAAGACCACUAUAUAGGGAAUAAGCUUUUGCAAAUAAACACAGUAUUGCCUCCAAAUCAGUGACUUAUUGUUAAACUUCCCAAUUUCUUUCACCCUUAGCACUUUGCCUUCUAACUCCUAUAUCUCCUGCCUUCAUUUAGUUGCCCAGUAGGAAGGUUGGACCAAAGUGUUUUCUUAGACCUCCAAACUAAAAGCCCUUUGCAGCCAAGAGUGGAGGAAAAUAAAUACAUUUAGAAGGGAAUUAAAUCAAUGCCAGCCUAGGAGGGUCCGCAGACCCGACAAAGGUUUCCUUUCAGCUUACUUUUAAAUAUGACCUUCAGGAGGCUAGAGACUUGUGAGGGUUUGGGUGUUCAGCCAUUUAUAUUGGCUUGUUCCCAAGCUCUGCCUUCCCUUAGUGAUGUCCUAGACAGCGCGCUCUGCAAACUCCUCACACAGUCCUCCCUUUCUCUAUGUAAGGUAGACUUUAAUCUGAUCUGGAGUUCACUUACAUCAAAUGCAUUUUGCCGUUUCUGUAGGAUUUAAUGGCACCAAAAUUCUUCCCAAAACAUGUUGAUCCCCUACUCCAUUGCUACUUCCUUCAGGAAGCAAGGGAAAGAGAGAUUUGCUGAAUGUCCACUCUGUCGCUGAUGACUAGGUUAGGGGUUCUCACAUAGAUCACCUAUGAAGAACUGAUGACUAAUCUCUUUUUAUAGAUUAGGAAGCUGUGGCUCAGAGAGAGAGUUGUCCAAAGGGAGGAUUCCAGCUGCAACUGUAGCCUUCUGCUCCAGGGCCCUCUCCCUGCCUCAUGGUACCCCAUCGACACCUAGCCCAUGCCCACAGCACCUCCAAGACACCUGGCUCAGCAUUCAGCACCCUCUGCCUUGUACUGUAAUAAUCUGUGCCCACAUCUUCUCUCCUUUACUGUCUUCUCUCCGAGGACCAGGAGUGGGUUGUGUUUAUCCUUCUAUCCCCCAUAAGGAGCACAGUUUCUGGCUCACAGUGGGUUCUUGUUUUACAGUUGUUGAAUUGCAGGAUCGACGUGCACUGGCAUUCCAUCAAAAGAGCAUUAAGACUUACUUGGAAUCUGCACAGACUCUCAAUGUGGUCACAUUGUUCUAAACAGAUUCUGUUCAGGAACCAUGACACAAAAGAUGAAAAACUACUGAGAUGCAGACAUUCAAGCAAAGGUCACAUUCCUGAUCACAGACAAAUGGAGAGGGGUAGAGGGCUACUGUGUAUCAUCUCAAUAGAGAUGAGCAAGCUUUCUUAUAACCAGAAGUGGAAAAUGGAAAGAAAGAAGAAAACUUGGAGGAAGGCAAAGGGUGAAUAUUGAAUCAAUUGAAUGGAUUCAAUUCAAGGUGGAAUCAAUUUUGUAAAACGAAUUUUAUCUUAGUGACACUUUAGAGAACACUGUUACUAUAGAGAACAACUCAGUUUCUACAAACCAAAAGAUCAUAACAAAGCAUUAGAAUGGACUUUAUUCAGGUUAUUUUCAAGUUAGUUUGCUUUUAUUCAAAGGCUGCUGAAAUACUUAUCAAGCAAGCAGACAAAGUGUGACAGCUAGAAUAAGGAGAAGAUUACUGUGAGUUCCUUUGCAUGAAGCUAUUUGGUGUUUCAGAAGAAAUUACAUUAAAGAAAGCAUCUGAUCAAACAUAUAAUUCUGUCAGUACAACAGAAGGAAUCUAAAAAAUAAUUUUAGCUCUUCUUAAGCAGCCAGUUUUCAUGAUUUCAUAACCUUUGUCACACAGUCAGAAACUAACUUUAUUAGAAUAUAUUUAAGUUGUCAAACAUUUGCUGAAUACCUAUUAUUAGCAAGGUGCUGUACUAAGCUUUGUAGGGGAUACAACUAUGAAUAAGAAGUAGUCCUUUCUUUAGAGAAGUCACAGAAUGCUGAGACUGACUCAUAUUUAUAAACAACUAUAAGUCAAAACAGAAACUAUUAAAUACUAUAAUAGUAAAAAAACAUCCAGAAUGCUAUGGAAAUAGGAAUGAAGACACCAUGUGGACUUGUAAAGCCUGAGAAAGGUCUCAAGAAGGAGGCAGAAUCUGAGCUGGGUUGCAAAGAAGGUAUAGAUGUUACCAGGUACAGAGACAGGGCAAAGUCAUUAGAGACCCAGCAUAUGGCAAGAGGGUGAGAGAAGGAAAUUAUAAAAUAUGUCCUAGAAACAGCAGGGACCAGUUUGGUUAGAACAAAUAUCUUGAGAUGGAGUAGAAGGCAGUACAUCCAGAAAAUUAUAUUAGUGUAAGAAUCUCAUGAGUUUGCAAUAGAUAAUAAGAAAUUUAGACUAUUCCAUAGGCAUAGUCUAUGGGAGAAGGGAUUCUAUUAUUAAAAGUAAUAGCACAAAAUGAUAGAAAUUGGAGACACAGAGGCCACUUAUGAGGUUACUACAAUAGUCCAAGUAGGUAGAAAUCUGGCACUGGGUGAAGAUAAAUGGCAUGAGACUGAGCUAGCAAGAAUAUGUAUAAAGCCAGGUAUCAGCAUUAUUGGCAAGGUAAUGGUCUCCAAAGAAAGCUAGUUAGCAUCAUCCUCAAAGAUCUUCUUGGCACAAAUCCCAAUAUACAAAGUAGAAAAAAAAUACAAGAUAGAUGAUCCUCUAGAUGAAGAGCUCAGCAAUAUAGACUCCAAACCAGAGCAACCCAGUAGUGUUGCAUUUAAUCAUGGGGUUCAGUUGGAUGUACAGAGUGUUACACAAAAGUAUAUCUGAAACUGGAAAGCGUAAGAUUAAUCAGGUAGAUUUUCCACUGAUUAUAUUUGAUUAGUUUAUCCUUCAAGGAGAAUAAUUGUUUUAUCAAAAAAGUUAUUUAAUUGAAGAGCAUUUAAAGUAAUACCAAUUGCAGUUUGAAACUUUCUUGAACAAUUACUUGUGAAUUCAAGAGAUUGCUAUAGUGAAGGUUGAUAUAGUUUGGAUAUUUGCCCUUGCUCCAAUCUCGUUGAAUUGUAAUCCCCAGUGUUGGAGUUGGGGUCUGGUGGGAGGUGUUUGGAUCAUGGGGGCUGACCUCUCAUGGCUUUGGUCUGUCUUCGUGAUACUGAGUUCUUAGGAGAUCUAGUCAUUUAAAAGCGUGUGGCACCUCCCCGUGAACUCUCACUCUCCCUUCACCUUUUGCCAUAAUUGUAAGCUUCCUGAGUCCUCCCUAGACAUUGAGCAGAUGCCCGUACCAUGCUUUCUGUAAAGCCUGCAGAACUGUGGGCCAAUUAAACCUCUUGUCUUUAUAAAU